GAAUCUUGGUCUUUUUAGUAGCUGGCUGAAGCAGGUCAUGGUUACAUGGGGUCAUCCCAGACAUCAAGGAUCCUUUCUAUUCUGUUCACUUCUCGCACAUGCGGAAGGUCCAAGAUGAUAGAUGAUAAGAGUCAAUGCCUUCUUCAUGAAUUGGCUAUAAGGAGGAAUGGCUUCGGAAAUUCGUGGAGCUUGUGUGUGGUGACCAGAUAAUGGCACAGUACUCCAGUUAGGAUCUUACCAGGGCACAACAGAGCUUCGUUAGGAUAGCAACAUCAACAUCAUCAUCAUCAUGAUAAUA